UAACUUAUCAGGCAAUGUAUAUAUGGAAAUUAUUGAAUUUGUGUUAGGAGAAAUAAGGCUUGACAUAUACAAUUCUAGAAAUAACGCUAGUGUAAAGAUCAACUUUAUGGUGGUUUGGAUGAGAAUGGCCCUAAUAGUCUCACAUAUUUGAAUGUUUGCUUCCUAGUUGGUGGACUGUUUAGGAAGGAUUAGCAAGUGUGGCCUUGUAGGAGAGGUGUGUCACUGUUGGUGGAAUUUGAGGUUUCAAAAGCCCAUGCCCAGCCUCUCUCUCUUUCUCUCUCUCUUCCUGCCUGUAACUUGUGGAUCAGCUAUGAGCUCUCAGAUACUGCUCUCAACACUGCCUACCUGCUGCCAUGCUUUGCACCAUGAUGGUCGUGGACUCACCCUCUGAAACUAAGCCAAAAGUCUGACAUCAAGACCUUGGUAGAGAAUGAACUUGAUGAAGUUUCGGGUGCUGGGCCAUUGCUCUACCACCAGGCUAUGUGAUACCUCUGGCCCUUGUCAGAUAUUUUAAGGAAAAAAAAAUCUUUAUACUUUAGUACUUUUUUUUUUUGAGACAGGGUUUCUCUGUGUAGUUUUGGUUCCUGUCCUGGAUCUUGCUCUGUAGACCAGGCUGGCUUCUCAAACUCACAGAGAUCCGCCUGUCUCUGCCUCCCAAGUGCUGGGAUUAAAGGCAUGUGCCACCACCAUCCGGUAUACUUUUGUACCUUUAAUAAAAUUUCUUCCUUGCAAAAGAUCUUUACCAAUCCCACAUCAGAUAGAGGACUGAUCUCUAAAAUAUAUAAAGAACUCAAGAAACUAGACAGCAAUAUAUCAAGUAAUCCAAUUAAAAAAUGGGCUACAGAGCUAAACAGAAAAUUCUCACUAAAAGAAUCUCAAAUGACCAAAAGACAUUUAAGGAAAUGUUCAACAUCCUUAGCCAUCAGGGAAAUGCAAGUCAAAAUGACUCUGAGAUACCAUCUUAUGCUUGUCAGAAUGGCUAAGAUAAAAAUACAGAUGACAGCUUUUGUUGGAGAGAAUGUGGAGAAAGGGGAACACUCCUCCACUGCUGGUGGGAAUGCAAUCUUUUACAGCCACUCUGGAAAUCAGUAUGGUGGUAUCUCAGAAAAUUGGGAAUCCACCUGCCUCAAGAUCCAGCAAUACCACUCCUGGGCAUAUACCCAAAAGUUGCUCAACCACACCACAAGGACAUUUGCUCAGCCAUCUUCAUAGCAGCAUUAUUUGUAAUGGCCAGAACCUGGAAACAACCUAGAUGCCCUUCAACAGAAGAAUGGAUAAAGAAAAUGUGGUACAUUUACACAAUGGAGUAUUAUGCAGCAGUAAAAAAAAAUGUCAUCAUGAAAUUUGGCAAAUGGAUGGAACUAGAAAAAAAUCAUCCUGAGUGAGAUAAUCCAGACACAGAAAGACAAACAUGAACCUACAUCCAGUGACUGAUGGAAGCAGAUGCAGAGAUCCACAGCCAAGCACUUGGCCAAGAUCCUGGAGUUCAGUUGAAGAGAGGGAGGAAGGAUGGUAGGUGCUGGAAAGUACUCAAUCAGUCACUUCCUGAACUGAGGUCUUUCUGUGCCUUCUCUCCAUCUUCACAAUGGCGUUUCUCUCAGCUUCCUCUCCCGAGAUCAGCUGCUUCCAUCCUGACUCUACAUGACCUUUCAGGCUAAAUACUCCACAGUAACCGGCUCAUUAGAGCCCAAAUUCUAAAUGCAUGGGGGGAAAAGCUCCCUGGCUUAUCCUAGCCUACAGGUCUAUGUAUACAAUGUCACAGGUCCUUCUGUUCAGGUGCGCUGGGGCCACGCUUGUAGUGGGUAGCCAUUCCAGCUUUGAUCUGGAAGUUCCAACCCCCAUUGAGACUUCGGCAACUGUCACGCCUACAAGGCGGGGCCAAGGGAGGCGCCUGGGGACCCGAGAUCUGGAUCGGGGAGCGCGCACUGCUCCGCUCUGGGACCCUGGAUGGUGGAGGUGGGCCAAGCAGAGCUCCAGAGAACACCGCUGGACUGCGAUACACCUUCCCCAGACCCCGCGACCUACCUAUCCCUUAAUUUGUAAGUUACGCCAUUAAAUAAAUCUCCUUUUAACUA